UUCACGACGUGGGCGGAUACCUGUACGUGAGUCGAUCUUUUGUAGAGAGACAGUGCGGAUCGGAGAGAUCGUCGCGACAGACAGUAGAGCCGCGCACUUUUGCUUGAAGAGCCCACAGGCAGAUAUUUUCUCUUUGUUUCUCCCAUUUUCUAUCCUUACAAAACCACCCACAAUCGAAAACGAUGAGCAAACCUGGGUGAAGAUGAGAAAUGG
ensembl:ncRNA C53C9.6 ncRNA